GGUCACAUGGGAGCGGUCACGUGACGGCGAUGGAGGGGGACGGCGCGUACGAGCCGGGAUUCGUCGGGAUCCGGUUCUGCCAGGAAUGUAACAACAUGUUGUACCCCAAGGAGGACAAGGAGAACCGGAUCCUUCUCUACGCCGUGAGUGACCCCAAACUGGGACCAGUAAUCCCCCCAGACUGGGACUAGUAACCCCCCCAAACUGGGAUCAGUGACCCCAAACUGGGACCAGUAAC